rnacentral:rRNA from 1 species
UACGGAGGGUGCAAGCGUUAUCCGGAUUCACUGGGUUUAAAGGGUGCGUAGGCGGGUAGGUAAGUCAGUGGUGAAAUCCCCGAGCUCAACUUGGGAACUGCCGUUGAUACUAUCUAUCUUGAAUGUUGUGGAGGUGAGCGGAAUAUGUCAUGUAGCGGUGAAAUGCUUAGAUAUGACAUAGAACACCAAUUGCGAAGGCAGCUCGCUACACAAUUAUUGACGCUGAGGCACGAAAAGCGUGGGGAUCAAACAGG